rnacentral:rRNA from 1 species
GACGAACGCUGGCGGCGUGCUUAACACAUGCAAGUCGAACGGAAAGGCCCUGCUUUUGUGGGGUGCUCGAGUGGCGAACGGGUGAGUAACACGUGAGUAACCUGCCCUUGACUUUGGGAUAACUUCAGGAAACUGGGGCUAAUACCGGAUAGGAGCUCCUGCUGCAUGGGGGGGGUUGGAAAGUUUCGGCGGUUGGGGAUGGACUCGCGGCUUAUCAGCUUGUUGGUGGGGUAGUGGCUUACCAAGGCUUUGACGGGUAGCCGGCCUGAGAGGGUGACCGGCCACAUUGGGACUGGGAUACGGCCCAGACUCCUACGGGAGGCAGCAGUGGGGAAUAGUGCACAAUGGGCGGAAGCCUGAUGCAGCAACGCCGCGUGCGGGAUGACGGCCUUCGGGUUGUAAACCGCUUUCGCCUGUGACGAAGCGUGAGUGACGGUAAUGGGUAAAGAAGCACCGGCUAACUACGUG